rnacentral:rRNA from 1 species
UGGGGAAUAUUGCACAAUGGGCGCAAGCCUGAUGCAGCCAUGCCGCGUGUAUGAAGAAGGCCUUCGGGUUGUAAAGUACUUUCAGCGGGGAGGAAGGGAGUAAAGUUAAUACCUUUGCUCAUUGACGUUACCCGCAGAAGAAGCACCGGCUAACUCCGUGCCAGCAGCCGCGGUAAUACGGAGGGUGCAAGCGUUAAUCGGAAUUACUGGGCGUAAAGCGCACGCAGGCGGUUGAUUGAGUCAGAUGUGAAAUCCCCGGGCUUAACCUGGGAACUGCAUUCGAAACUGGCAGGCUAGAGUCUUGUAGAGGGGGGUAGAAUUCCAGGUGUAGCGGUGAAAUGCGUAGAGAUCUGGAGGAAUACCGGUGGCGAAGGCGGCCCCCUGGACAAAGACUGACGCUCAGGUGCGAAAGCGUGGGGAGCAAACAGG